GCCCGCCUAGCUCAAUCGGAUAGAGCGUCAGACUCUUAAGUCAAAGGCUAGGGCAUCUGAAGGCUGCGAGUUCGACCCUCGCGGUGGGCU